rnacentral:rRNA from 1 species
UGUGAAUUGCAGAAUUCAGUGAAUCAUCGAAUCUUUGAACGCACCUUGCGCCCCUUGGUAUUCCGAGGGGCACGCCUGUUUGAGUGUCGUGAAAUUCUCAACCCUCGU